GACAGAGGGGGCAAGCGUUGUCCGGACUGACUGGGCGUAAAGCGCGCGCAGGCGGUCGGAGGCGUCGGUGCUGAAAGUGCGCCGCUUAACGGCGCGAUGCGUGCCGAUACGCUCCGACUGGAGGGUGGGCGAGGGUGGUAGAAUUGCCGGUGUAGUGGUGAAAUGCGUAGAGAUCGGCAGGAAUACCAGUGGCGAAGGCGGCCACCUAGCCCGCACCUGACGCUGAGGCGCGACAGCGUGGGGAGUGAACUGG
rnacentral:rRNA from 1 species